rnacentral:rRNA from 1 species
GAUGAACGCUGGCGGCGUGCCUAAUACAUGCAAGUCGAGCGAAGCGGGGACGGGUGAGUAACACGUGGAUAACCUCCUAUAAGACUGGGAUAACUUCGGGAAACCGGAGCUAAACCGGAUACUUAGAGAUGGAUCUGCGCUGCAUUAGCUAGUUGUUAAGGUAACGGCUUGCCAAGUCAACGAUGCAUAGCCGACCUGAGAGGGUGCACGGAAAAACAGGAACUGAAACACGGUCCAGACUCCUACGGCAGGCGGCAGUAGGGAAUCAUCCGCAAUGGGCGAAAGCCUGGCAGAGCAACGCCGCGUGAGUGAUGAAGAUCUUCGGAUCGUAAAACUCUGUUAUUAGGGAAGCGCUACCUACUCAGAAAGCCACGGCUAACUACGUGCCAGCAGACGCGGUAAUAC